AUUGAACGCUGGCGGCAGGCCUAACACAUGCAAGUCGAGCGGAUGAAGAGAGCUUGCUCUCUGAUUUAGCGGCGGACGGGUGAGUAAUGCCUAGGAAUCUGCCUGGUAGUGGGGGAUAACGUUCCGAAAGGAACGCUAAUACCGCGUACGUCCUACGGGAGAAAGCAGGGGACCUUCGGGCCUUGCGCUAUCAGAUGAGCCUAGGUCGGAUUAGCUAGUUGGUGAGGUAAUGGCUCACCAAGGCGACGAUCCGUAACUGGUCUGAGAGGAUGAUCAGUCACACUGGAACUGAGACACGGUCCAGACUCCUACGGGAGGCAGCAGUGGGGAAUAUUGGACAAUGGGCGAAAGCCUGAUCCAGCCAUGCCGCGUGUGUGAAGAAGGUCUUCGGAUUGUAAAGCACUUUAAGUUGGGAGGAAGGGCAGUAAGUUAAUACCUUGCUGUUUUGACGUUACCGACAGAAUAAGCACCGGCUAACUUCGUGCCAGCCGCCGCAGUAAAAC
rnacentral:rRNA from 1 species